UACGAAGGGGGCUAGCGUUGUUCGGAAUUACUGGGCGUAAAGCGCACGUAGGCGGAUAUUUAAGUCAGGGGUGAAAUCCCAGAGCUCAACUCUGGAACUGCCUUUGAUACUGGGUAUCUCGAGUAUGGAAGAGGUGAGUGGAAUUCCGAGUGUAGAGGUGAAAUUCGUAGAUAUCGGAGGAACACCAGUGGCGAAGGCGGCUCACUGGUCCAAUUACUGACGCUGAGGUGCGAAAGCGUGGGGAGCAAACAGG
rnacentral:rRNA from 1 species